rnacentral:lncRNA from 1 species
UUUUUUUUUUUUUUUCCCCCUUUCAGUUGCUUUAGAACAAGAAGAAUAAAAAAAGUCCACUGCUGACAAACACUGCUUUGGGCAUUUGACACUCGUCUUUGAUCUAGUUACUCAGACAGUUCAAAAUGAACAAAUUAGGUGUUUACAACAAAAGACAUUCCGUUUCAGCCUGUUCAAGUACCGAGUCGGGUGGACAGUCUUCUCAAAUGGAGCUGGGAAAUAUCUUCCUGCCAGGCCGCAGGACGGGCACUGGGAGUUGAUGGCCCCACAGAAAUUAAUAGAUUAGGACACUGCCUUUGUGCAUGUUAAAAAGAAAGAAAGACAACAAGGGGUUGGGGGGAGGGCGGGGGGAGGGGGUUUGUCAACGAAAUAAAAUCUAAACCAUCUGGAUCACUGAAGCGAGAGGCCCGCAGGGACACCUCUUAGCUCUUCUUGGGGUGGUUUUAUUGUGGGACCAACAGAAACAGCAUUCACUCUCAUUUCUGCCUCAAGACCGUGGCACCCAUCCAGUCUACACACCACAUGGAAAAGGGCAAAAAUCUUUAUCCGAUUAGGUAAAGUCAGCUGUUAAAAGUAUUCUAACAUGACUCCCAAAGAGCAGAGGAAAAUUGGGUGUUUCUGUGUCAUUUCUUUUCAUGAAAGAGAAUGGUUUUGUUCCCUGGACUGAAGUGUCUGUUUUGUUUCUGCUGAAACUCUGCAUCUUAGAAAAGGACUCUGCCUCUUAGAAAAGGACUCUGCCUCUCUUUGGCCUUUGUGAAGUGAAGUGUUUAUCCUAUGAGAUGAUUCGUGAAAGGCUUUUGCAGUCUAUGGCCAUGCAGUCUGCCUAUAAAUAGACUAUGUAAUUUGCACCGUGUUUUUCUUUUAAGGGACAACCUGGGCUCUUUUUAAUAAUAUUUUACAAUGUUUAAAAAAGCAGACGCCGUCUCAGCAACUGCUCCAGCAGCAGCGGGCUUUGAGGUGUGCUGUGUGAUUAAGGGGUACACACAGAGCAUGCUGAAAAGUGGCGCCUGGAAAUCACAUUUCAUUUUCAGCAAGCAGUGGGGAGUGGAAAAGGGAAAGUGAGUGGAGCAAAAGAAUGAAAUCUGUUCACACAGAUCCCAGCAUCCCCUAGAACCGAAAUGUCAGGCUUGAAAAUACCAAGUGAACCAGCUUGUCUAAUAUGUUACCAUCCUGGCUUAUAAUUACCGGAAAGUAGUUAUUUAUCUGUUGUGUUCAGCUACCCUGUCAGCACUCCUGAGUUUAAUUAUCAGACUUCACUGAAAGUUCAAUUUCCUCGGCUCCCUCCUCUUUUUGCAGCAACAUAAAUCGGAAUUUCUUCCUGGUUUCUGUUCACUGUUUUGGCAAGCCUUCUCCUCCAGCUUCAGUUCUUGCCCAAGAGGCAGCUCCUCUCCCGGCGCUAAAGGAGGCAGCUGCUUGGCACACUUUCAACAAGCCUGACUCUUCAGUAUAUCCUAGUUCACAGCCCCUUGUCCAUCAAUGGGGUGAAAAAGAGAAGCCUUGGACAAGGCUGUUGGCUAACCUCACCUCCACAGAGCACAAGGGCUUCAAACAUCUGCCCCGGGGUUGGUACAGCUGAGCUAGGGAAUUCAAAACAGCUCCAAAUAAGGGGGCCCUCCCAGCAAGUAAAACAAACAGUUGUUACUCUCCCCCCGCCCCACCUUACCCUCCCAGGCCAGGGAGCCUUCCAGUGAAAAGGAUCUUGUUCUGGGUGUGAUUCUUUCAUGCAGGCCCUUUGUCGAAACAGAGCGUGAUUUGUCAGAGACAGGAGCUGGGUAAGACAGAGAACUUUGGAACCUGGGGAUCCUUACCUUGAAAGGAGGAAAACCAGCUAGAACUUAGAUGCUACAUUAUCCCACUCCCUCACCAAUCCCCCACAAUGGAAUCCAGCCCCGAAGAGAAAAAUGGAUACUUGGGACAAGCUAUUAUUACAAGUUCUGCUGAGAAUCUGGACUCACCCUGCAGCAGUUGUCUUAGAGGGGAAUAAUCAGAUGGUAGUGAUGUUUGUGGAGGUUUAUUUGCAGGUGAGCUCGACAGCAAGUCAAAGUUGCUCUAGCUGGUUAGCCAUCCUCUGAGGCAUAGUUCUCUCCAUCAGCCAAGGUUGGUGACAGGAAAGGAUUAGUACAGACUUUGAACCCCAGCUCUGCCACUUACCAGCUCUUGGGCACCCAACUCUUGCCACUGCCUUGGUAUUUCCCAUACAGCAGCACUGUAAAAGUCCCAACCUCAUGGGGACGUUAGAUGUUAUAAUACAUAAAUAUGCCAAGUACUUAAGAGCAGCGCCUGAUGCAUCGUGAAUGCUAUGAAAGUAUUAGAUGCUAUUAUUGGUAGUGGUGGUGUUAUUACUGCUAUUUCGUUUUCUUCACUGUUUCCUCCUCCACCAUAGCUCCUGGCAUAUUGAUCUGAUUUACUCAGAGUAAGCUUUCAAUAAAUACACAUUGAUUCACAAAGUGCAGGACAACACUACAGGCUUUGAAGGAAGACUAGCUCAUUGACAAAUACUUAGACCAAAUAUUCUGAUAAGCCCAACACCUAACAAGGUGACUGUGACAUGAAUCUGCAUGCAGCAGAGCUGCUCUGUUUACACAUGAGUGUCAAAGAUGGACAGAAUUCUGUAUAUUUUACACAGUUUUGGAGUCUAAGGACUUGUCCUCUGUAUUUGUUUCCUGCCACUGCCAUAACAAAUAACCACGGUCUUGGCUUAGAACACCAGAAAUGUAUCUUCUCAUGGUUCUGGUAGCCACAGGUCUAAAAUCAGGGCUGCAUGGGGCCACACUCCUUCUGGGGACACUUGGAGAGAAUCUAUUCCUUGCCUCGUUUGCAGGCUCCAGGUGAUCCCUGGCUUGUGGCUGCAUCACUCCGGUCUGUCUCCAAGGUCACCACCUCCUUCUCUUUUGUCUUCUCCCCAUGUGACUGUCACUUUCCCUCUGCCUCAUCUCAUAAUGACCCUUGCCAUUAGAUUUAGGACCUAUGUGGAUAAUCCAGGAGCUCCUCCUUCAAAAUCUUUGCCUUAAUUACAUCAUUUGCCUCAUAAGAUAUAUUCACAGGUUCUGAGGACUAGGCUGUGGACACCAUUCAGCCCACUACAAUGUCUGUCGCCAAAAUGUGCUGACAGAGGUUAUGAAAGUCAUCAUUUAUUUUGAUCAAGUGCAAAUGGUUUAUAUUUAUACAUUUUUUAGGAAUAACUGUGCAGGUCCGAUAAUUAACAAAUACACAGACACACACGUGCCUAUACACCAGCUGUUCUCCAUUGGAGGGAGAGUUUUUGCUUUAUCAUUGGGAGAAAAAUGUGUUUCACAAGGUGAGGUGCCAAGGUAAGGAGAGAGAACAGGAGAAAGAAACGGGGUGGCAGGAUUCCUUCAUCAUCUGCUGUAGAUUCUUUUUUGUUCUUCUUCUAGGAAGAGAUGGUACAAGGCAGAGGGGGCUAUGAAGGCUCAUGAGGUUCCUCAGUGAACAUGGAAAGGAUCUUAUGAGACCCUUGGGUAUAGGGAGAGCUGCUUUUGUGCCUGGCAACCACUCGGGAGACAUACGCUCUGCCUCUGGGCAGAACUGGCACAGCUCCUGCUUCCAGAGAUUCAAAGCUUUGAAAGUUUCCUGCAACAUCUUCCUUGGAUGAGUCACUUUAUGAUGUGCUGGGGCACUGGCAAACCAACGAAAAUGAGCAAGUGGGGCCAGGGAGACAGAGGCAACCAUUGUGAGGACAUAAGACACCCAUCCCACUAGAGACCUCCAGAAAGAUCUGAAGGGCACCUGACUUGGAUGGGUGAAGCCCUGUUAAGUGUGUAGGCGAAAGUUACACCACAAGUUGACAUUUGCAUGAACAUUUCCCUAUGUAGAGAAGGAGAUGAGGACGUAGGGCACCAUUAAACUGCAAGAAGCAUUUUGACAAAGCAGUUGUAUUAGUUUUCUAUGGCUGCUGUAAAGAAAAAAGUCCAAAAAAACUUUGUGGCUUAAAACAGCACUCAUUUAUUAUUUCAGUUUCCAUGAAGGUGAUAUCAAAAUCCUAUUCCUUUAUUCCGGGGGAAAAUCCAUUUACAGGCUCAUUCAAAUCCCUGACCAAAUUUAGUUUCAUGCUGUUGUGGGGCUGAGGUUCCCACUUCCUUGCUGAGUCCAGCAAGGCUUCUAGUGACUGACCAAACUGUCUACUCAUGACCCCUCCAUCUCCAAGCCAUUGCUGGCACAUCUGACCCUUCUUGGGCUUCUAUAACCCCUCUGACGUCUCUCCAUCUUAAACGGGAUCAAAGGGCUCAUAUGAUUGUACCGAGCCCAAGUGAAUAGUCCAGAGGAAUGUCGCUGUGUUAAUAUCACAUGAUUAGUAACCUUAGUUAUGUCUGGAAGUUCCCUUUUUACAUGUAAUAAAAGUUACGUAGAGUUAUAAAACCAGAGUGUUAAGGUCAUGGGGGCCUCUCAUAUUGGUAACUUGCAAUAAAGCUCCUCUUCCCAUAAAAAGCCCCUUGGGCUAGCCAUUGGAAGACCAUGUUUCAGUGUCACCUCUACCACCUGCUUAUAUGUUAAUGAACAUGGGCGGCCACUGUUUUGCUCUGGGACUAGUUUCUUGUCACUAAAGUAAAGGAGUCUGAGUAGAUGCCAUGUAAACACUCUCAUUGCUCUAAAAUUAUAUAACUCUGUUUCUCCAGUAGUAAAAAAUUACAACCCAUUAACAAAGCUGCAUUGCAAAAUGUAUCUUGUGGUUUUUCAACCAACUACUGAAGUAUUAUUGUCCGCACCAUUCCUGGGUCAGAGCGGACCCAUUCUUUGUGGGAUGCUGCCAACCUAUGUAUAAACUGUGCUUUUACAAUAGAUAACACUAAGUGUAGGACACAAAAAGCAUACCAAACAGUUUCCUUUAGGAAAUCACUGACCAUGCAUGCAAUUUAGUCAUUUAAAAUAAAGGUUUGAGCUAUUUGAGCUUAGGCUCUAGCAGACAUUACUUCUGAACAAAUCAUUUCAUAUGGAGUUUAAAUGCAACCAGGUGUUCAAAGUGAAAGACACACAGGGCCUCUAACUUCCAGCACACCUCAAGGGCAGCCCACAAAGAAUGAAUGAACUCCUUCUAUUCAUAGCAUUCAACUUCUUCCAUAAAUCUCUCCCAGAUGCCCAGAAUCAGAUAACAUUUUCCAAAAGAAUUGCAAACCUUAUCAGAACCUGAAGUCUAAAGUAUUACUUCAAAUCUAUUGACUUCCAGAUCAGAACUAAAGGUAUAAAUACCUAAUCCUUUCAUUCAUGUGGGUCAUCCUAAGAUUUCAGUGGAUCUUGAUAUGCAAAGUGGAUCCAUACAGCAUUCACAUUUUAAAUUGUUGAAAACAGGAAGAACCCCACCUUUCAGGUUCUUUUUCUUUCUCAAGUAUUGUCUCUCUGUUAUUAGGCCAUCUCCAAAUCAUCUUUUGUUCUACUUUUCUAUCAGUAACAUUCCCUGAGAGUAAAAAAAAUUUAAUAUUUUCAUGAACUUUCUUAACAGGUUAUUGAAAUUCAAAGGGAAUUGAAAGAAGUAUUUAUUGAAAUUAAACUACUCAUUUCACAGCUCUAAACAUAGAUACUUUCUACAACUCAUAUCUUAAGUCUAAAACUAAAUUAAAUCUUAUUCAUUCAACAAAUAUUUACUGACUACUUACUAUAUGCCAUAUCUAACUUCUAAGGAUAAAAUGAUGAACAAAAUAGUCCUUGAUCUCAGAGAAUUUGCAUUCCAGUAGGAGACAUACAAUGAACAAAUAAAUCAAUGUGCUGUGAAGAAAGAUGCGUCGGUAAGGGAACAGAGUGUGACCUGGGUGAAGUAUUUUUAGAAAAGGCAGUUUCUAGCAGGAUGACAAAUUAAGCAAGAAUGAAAAUCUUGAACAUGUGAGGAAAGAGCCAUCCAGGCAAAAGGCCUGAAGGACAAGUUCAGUGGCCCUGGAAUAAGAUGUGUUUGGCGUGUUCAAGACACAUCACAGAAGCCAGUGUAUCUCCAGUGUUGUGAGCAAGUGGUAUAGUGGUUGUGGAAAGGACAGUCAGGUCCGAUCACACAGGGCUAUGGUAAUGACUUUGGAUUUUAUUUUAAAUGUGAUGGAAAUGGAGAGUUGAAAACAGAUUUGAUUUAUAAUUUCAAGUUAUCACUUUGACUGCAGUUGGAGGAAAGAGGUCAAGAGUGAAAGCCAGGAGGCAAUUUAGAAAAGUUGCUGUAUAGCAAAUAUAAGCUCAGGCAAGAGAUAAACUGAGAAUAGUAAAAAAAAGUGAUCAGGUUUCGGAUGUAUUUUGAAGGUUUUGCUGACAGGUCUUGCUCAUGGUAUGGAUGUGGAAAAUGAGAAAAAGAGAGAAGGUUGAAAGCCCAUUAUUAACCAGUAUAGGGUAACUGUCAAUUACAUCCUCAUACUUAAACUCAACCUCCUCUCUCUCUCUCUCUCUUUUUUUGGAGCCCCCAGCAUAUGGAAAUUCCAGAGGCAGGGAUCAAACACACACACAGCAGCCAACAGAGAGCAGAGCAGCUGCAGUGACAAUGCCCGAUCCUUAACCCCGC